rnacentral:ncRNA from 1 species
UUUAUUAAGAGUUUGAUCCUGGCUCAGGACGAACGCUGGCGGCACGCUUAACACAUGCAAGUCGAACGGUGAAAGUACUUCGGUACUGGAUCAGUGGCGGACGGGUGAGUAACACGUGAGCAAUCUGCCUU